rnacentral:lncRNA from 1 species
AUUUGUGCUUAGUCAAACUUACUACAAUUUCAACUAGGAGUUUCCGUCACCCUGUGGCCCCUCCUGCCUUCCACUCCCAAGGACCCCUGUGAGAAAAGGCCAGGAAUGGCUUCCUUGAGUUUGAGCUUGGAUCAGGAGUUCCUACAGGUUCCCACUGCUUUUUCUACUUUUUCGCUCAGCUCCCAAAAUCCAUUUCAGCUCUAGGAUGACAAGAGAUCAAUUAAGGAGAAAGAAGAAUGUUAAUCCAACAUGGAAAAGGCCCACCCUAAUUGAAGAAUGGUGAACAGGAUUCUGGUCAAUGAAUUAUAGCCUCAUUUUAAAAUUCACUCAUCCAUUUGAUAAUUAAUUAUAAUGGCAUCUUACAUAAUCAUCAGAGGCUUUCUCUGAAAAAUACAUGGAGAGUUUUGUGCUAUCAUCACCAGAGCCAGCAAUUCAACCUAAAUUCUGAGUGUAAUGGAAGCCGUUAAUCACUAUCAAGUUCAUCAUUUUUUUUUCAUGCAAUCAACAGAGAAAACUUCUGUGACCAUAUAUAUGAGGCUUUUUCUGACCAACAAGAAAGAAAUCAAUUCUGUAGCAGAUACUAG